rnacentral:rRNA from 1 species
UACAGAGGGUGCGAGCGUUGUUCGGAAUUAUUGGGCGUAAAGGGCGCGUAGGCGGUGCGGUAAGUCAGCUGUGAAAUCUCCUGGCUCAACUGGGAGCUUGCAGGCGAAACUGCCGUGCUGGAGUGUGGGAGAGGUGCGUGGAAUUCCUGGUGUAGCGGUGAAAUGCGUAGAUAUCAGGAGGAACACCGGUGGUGUAGACGGCUUUCUGGACCGUAACUGACGCUGAAACACGAAAGCGUGGGUAGCAAACAGG